GCCGUGAGCGCAGGCAGAUUCUCCGAGCGCGAUACACGGCUCGGGUGCUGUUGUUGGAGGUGGCGUCGGAUGGUGAGACGCAAAAAACGGCCACUGCCGCCCGCAAUGUCACGGCCUGCUUCGUGACAUCGGCUCUAUUGCGUGUUUUCGCCGACGGCUUACUACCACAAUGGCGAGAUCUGCGUUCACCGCAUUCGUUGUUCUCGGUGCGUCUUUGUGCGUCGCACGUUCGGAUAACACUUUUUCCGACGGCCGGGCAUCCUUCUCGUCCCUUGGCGCUAGCUGGAUGACGGGACCUCAUCAUGAUCAGUGUAAGCCAGCAAACUGUACACUCUCUGUACCUCCCAGUGCUUUUUGUGUGGGUUAAGGCCAGGGAGCGCUUCGUGGUAAAAUAGCUGGUUGGUGUCUCAUAAACGGGUAUUUUUUGCACUGGUCCCUUAUAAGCUGCCACUAUUAUAACCAAUUUCUCAGUGCCAGUGUGCAUACACAGUUCUACUAAUAAUUAGUUUCCCUAAGCCUUACAAAUUUAACUGUAGGUAGUCAGUGCUAUGUAAGAACUCACAAAUUAACUCUGUUGUGUCAUCAUUUACCAGUAUUCCCUACAUGAUUAAAAAUUUCCAACAGCACUGUACAUUACACCUUGCUUCCCUAAUGCACAAAUGUAUUCAAGCAGUAUGUGAUUACUUCUGUAUUCUAAAUGUUUCCUGUGUGAUUUAGUUUCUUUACAGGAAUUUACUGUACAGCAUCAUCAAGCAGUCUAAUUUAAUAUGUAUGCGUGUGCUGCAAAAGGUAUGCUUUGCCGCUACAAUUGAUAAAACAUGGUCCGAACCUUCCUUACAAGAACGAACUUCAAUUUGGGUCUACCACCGUCAGCACUUGGCUGGCGAUUGCCAAAUGGAUCACAUGAGGUAGCUUGUGCAGACUGUUUUUUAACCUUAUUGUGAGGAGAUAGCACAAUGAUGUGUGGAGGCGCCUGCGUCUGAGAUAGAUUGUGCUGCAACAUAUGUGCAUGUAAAACAGGCAUGAUACUGAAGGUUCUAGCAGAUUGCAGAGGUGCUUUUAAAAUUUUGUCAUAACCGUAACCUUACCUGUGCUGUUUUUUGUCAUCUAUUUCAAUAAUAUCAAUGGAGGUGUUAUCAGAACUUAGCAAUUUAUUGGCCCUGGCUCAUUAGGCUUCCACAUUUGACCUUUCACUAGGUGGGCAAUUAUUCAACUUGGACCAUUACUUGAACACAUCUUUUUUGUGUGCAGCGGCUUCUCAAUUGCGAGUCAAUGUAGAUGCUCAGAAUUACCUGAGGCUAUAGAUGCACUUAUGAAUUUGCUACCCAUACAAAUCACUUUGCACUUUCUCGCGCAACAAGCAUGCUAACACUUCCAAGACGGUGGGCAAUGUUACCGUUUGAUCACAUCAUGUGAUGCUUUCAAUUUUUAUGACGUGUCAUCCAAGGUGACGCGUUAUUGGUGUGAAGUAUUGCCCUAAGCCAAUUAGAGUCACAUGAAAACAUAUCAACAAAAGUGAUUGAUCCAGCCUAGAAGUGUUGCUUUGGAACACCACUUUAUCACCAGUCCUCAUUUGCAAGCUACCUUCAUACCCUGUACUGAGUCAUGUUUAAGUUUGAAAAAUAGGCAACAGCUAGACAGUAAAAAAUGCCAAACUUGCUUUUGGCUUAACAAUAUGAAAUGGUAUUUAACUUUUUAAUUAAGUUAGUACAUCAUUUACCUGCAGAGUGUAUUACUGUUUUGAACUGAUUAUAUUUUGCAGGAAGCUUCUCAGACUUGUUUGAAAAGGUGAUAAGCGCCUUUUUAGUCACAAAACACCAUAUAUUAAUUUGAAAGCUGGCUUCGUCUGACUCUGCCCUGCAAUUUAAUAACUAUGCCAGGAAAUAUAUUAGCAAUUUUAAACAUCAUCCCAUACAUACCUUAAGAUACCCGUAAUUUAAGACAAAUGAGUGCUUAAAUUUAUUUUUAAUGUUAGCUGAACUUUUUAGCACAUCAUCGACAUCGGGGCACGACAUCGCAUCUAAGAUGCCGCACUCACGCUGGCUAUUUUUACAAGCUACGAUAGCGCUGAUGGUAUCGUCCGUGUGUCUUCGCCCGGAUCGACAACCGCCUGCCAACCUGCCAAUCCACAUCGACGAUUGCUUACUCCAGCUCAUCACCCGCCAGUUACAGAUGAAUCCAACUGGCCCACCUGGCAACCUAGGAUCACAUCAAGUGCGUUUACGGCGGCCGAUGUAGGAUAUAAAUGACAGCUGGCUGGCUCCCACUUCGGGCACGACAUCGUAUCUAAGAUGCCGCACUCACGCUGGCUCUUAUAACAGGUAUUGCAUGCCUAUAUGUCUACAAGAACUCUUGUGUAGAGACACAAGAACCUUCCCGCGUGGCCUGUGACAGCAAGCUUUUGUGAGCAGCCAGUGCUCUCCUACGAAGGCUGGCCUGCUCUGGCAGCGGCGGCAAUCAUCUUCGAGAUUCAUGCAUGAUCACCUUUGCUGCUAUUUGUCACUCUUGUUAAUUACAC